UACGUAGGGGGCAAGCGUUGUCCGGAAUUACUGGGCGUAAAGGGCUCGUAGGCGGCCAAUUAAGUCAGACGUGAAAUCCCUCGGCUUAACCGGGGAACUGCGUCUGAUACUGGAUGGCUAGAGGUUGGGAGAGGGAUGCGGAAUUCCAGGUGUAGCGGUGAAAUGCGUAGAUAUCUGGAGGAACACCGGUGGCGAAGGCGGCAUCCUGGACCAAUUCUGACGCUGAGGAGCGAAAGCCAGGGGAGCAAACGGG
rnacentral:rRNA from 1 species